CUCUCCAUUCCUUUCUUUUUUUAUCUUGAGUGCAAGCUUCCCCAAUCAAGUACAAGCAUGGUGAUUGAAGCAUGGGGCUUCUCUUCCAUUAGUGUAUCCCCUUACACUAUAAAUAGAGCUUCAUAUCAUCUCCAAAAAAAUCACACCUCAAUCUUUAGCUUCUCUCUCUCAAUCUUGAUCUCUAUCUCCCUCUAUAUCACUUUGAAGAUCGUCACCAUAAACCACCAUUCCACCACCCCCUGUUGCCGCUGCUUUGAAACUAAAUUUUCUCGGAGAUUCGUAUUCACGGAAAACUACUCGACCUUCUCGCAUCCAUUCCAGAACGUUAUUCAUCUAUCGAACGUUAAAGUAGUGGCGCAUGAGCAUAGAUGUGAUGUUUUGGACGAGAGAUUACGGAUAUAGGCCUGUAGAUAUGAAAUAAUGUAGUAAGGCUUAUAUUGUACUGUUUAUGCUUUUGAUCUGUACGAACAUGACAUCCCGAGUCUUUUAAUGAAAUACAUUUCUAUGGAAAUGCUUUUGAUAAAUCUUUAUCAUAUUUUGUUUUGGGACAAAUUCCGCAAUGCUUUUAUUUAAAAUGUUACUCUGAUUUUUAAACAAAGCAUAAACAAACCGGUCUUUUCUGGCCGUGAUUUUGAGGAUGUCACAGGAUAUCAUCAAAAGAUAACCCAGCAGAUCCGCUUACGAAGGGACUGAGUAGGGUUAAGCACUUGCAGCAUGCUAGGAGU